rnacentral:rRNA from 1 species
UACGAAGGGGGCUAGCGUUGCUCGGAAUUACUGGGCGUAAAGCGCACGUAGGCGGCUCUUUAAGUCGGGGGUGAAAUCCUGGAGCUCAACUCCAGAACUGCCUUCGAUACUGAAGAGCUCGAGUCCGGGAGAGGUGAGUGGAACUGCGAGUGUAGAGGUGAAAUUCGUAGAUAAUUCGCAAGAACACCAGUGGCGAAGGCGGCUCACUGGCCCGGUACUGACGCUGAGGUGACGAAAGGCGUGGGGAGCGAAACAGG